AUAAACACAAAUAUAAAUUAAACAGAUAAUAGGUAGGUUGCAGAUAAUAGGUUGCAUCUCUUAGACUGAAUGAAGAUUUGACUGUGUCCAUGAUGUUAUUCCAUAAUUGCGGUGCUCUGUAGGAAAACGAAGAUUAAACCACUUUAUUUUUGUAUUGCGGUGUGCUAAAUAAAGUGCUGGUACUGGAUCGGAGGUUAGAGGAUGUGGGAACGGCUGGGGAGAGCUUCCCAGAGAAGCUCUUAUGCACAAGGCUGGAAAGAUGAAGAGUGUGUCGGGAUUCCAGCAACAGCCAGUUUAGCUCUUUUAACAUGUCACAAUGGUGGGUGAAGUAAUUACAUUCUAGAAGGUGGGUUUGAGGCACAGGUGCAUACACUACAUCCCCAUAAUCAAUAAUAAUAAUCAAUAAUAAUAAUAAUGAUGGCUGUAGUAUAAAAAAAUAAAUAAUAAUAUAAAAGGUGGAUCUGACGUUUAUUUGUAUGCAAAUUAAUUUCACUCCAGAACAGGGGCUGCAUUUAGUCAAAUGCUGAAACCAGGGAAAGCAGUGAUUUGUCAUAUAGAUAUCUAGAAAUCUCUGAACCUAUCCAGCCCCUUCCUGCUCCUGUCUGUUUUCAGUUCACCUAUCCUUGCUUCAUGUCUGCCUUCCAGUCAGAGUAUGCUAUUGGUUUAAUUUCCCUGAUUACACGUACAUACUAAGUUUCAGUUUACACUCAAAGCAAGGAUAUUUAACCUGCUAAUAAAAAAUUCUCUUGGGCAUAAAGAUCCAAAAGCUCAUAAAUAUAAGGCAGGUAAGAAUUUCAGAUACAGGGAUUAAAGGACCACUAUAGUGCCAGGAAAACAUACUCGUUUUCCUGGCACUAUAGGGCCCUGAGGGUGCCCCCACCCUCAGGGUCCCCCUCCCGCCGGGCUCUAGGGAGAGGAAGGGCACUUACCUCUUUCUCCAGCGCCGGGCGGGGAGCUCUCCUCCUCCUCUCCGCCUCCUCGGCUGAAUGCGCAUACGCGGCAAGAGAUGUGCGCGCAUUCAGCCAGUCUCAUAGGAAAGCAUUCAUAAUGCUUUCCUAUAGACGCUGGCGUCUUCUCACUGUGAUUUUCACAGUGAGAAGCACGCAAGCGCCUCUAGCGGCUGUCAAUGAGGCAGCCACUGGAGGCUGGAUUAACCCUAAUAUAAACAUAGCAGUUUCUCUGAAACUGCUAUGUUUAUAGAAAAAAGGGUUAACCCUAGCUGGACCUGUCACCCAGACCACUUCAUUAAGCUGAAGUGGUCUGGGUGCCUAUAGUGGUCCUUUAAUGGCAGUUAUCAGAAAUACUUGGUUCUUUGUAAAAAAUAUGCUUCACAGUAUCUGCUUUGUACUAUUCAGUAGGGAUUUGGCUUCCCAUAUGGUCACUGUAGCUCUCUCUAGUACCUGAUCUUGUAUCUGGGUGGACCGACAAUUAUAGGAAUGUCACCUCUGAGAGAUAUCCUUACUGAGACCAAUGUCAUGCUAUCUCUCCCCCCCAGCUGGUCUAAAUGCGCAGGCCCAUCUGCCUGUGCCUCCUUCUCAAAGGGAUUUCAACCCCUGUGCCCGCUCUACCCAGAGACGUAUUGACUUCCCUGCCCAUCCCUCCAUCCCCCAGGUGUCAACCCUUCUGCUUGUCCUCUUUCUUCAAGGCAGGUAUGUGGUUCAAGGGCCUAGCUCAAUGAAAACCAGGAAGCAAGUCUGAAGACUCUACUACUGGAAUCCUUGAACAAACCAGACAGGACACACAGUUCUCAAUAGGGCUAGUACACACUACUUUAUUUUUGAACAAGGGCUAGCCUGUGGUGACUUGUCCUAAGACAUAUGGUGGAAACCAUUUAAAAUACAAAUAUACAGAAUCAUUGGAGAACAAGCAAAUAUAAUUAAUGCACCAACUAUUUAAUACAAUCAUAACUUUCUAACCUUUGGAAAAAGAGAUAUACGGAUGUAACUGGUUACUUGUUUGCAAUUUCCUAAUUUCUUAAUUGUAAUUAUA
rnacentral:lncRNA from 1 species